CAGAAAACUACGAGCAAAACGCUUAAAACUCCAAGGACUUGGCGGUACCUCAAACCCCCCUAGAGGAGCCUGUUCUAUAAUCGAUAAUCCACGUUAAACCUUACCAUCCUUUGCCAACCCAGCCUAUAUACCACCGUCAUAGCCUACCUUAUGAAAGACAAAAAGUAAGCUCAACAACCCCAAUAGCUAAAAAGUCAGGUCAAGGUGUAGCCAACUAAGAUGGAAGAAAUGGGCUACAUUUUCUACCAUAGAAAUAACCACAGAACAGAAACAUGAAACAUGAUCUGAAUAAAGAAGGAUUUAGUAGUAAAUUAAGAACAGAGAGCUUAAUUUAAAACGGACCUGAGGUGCGC
rnacentral:rRNA from 1 species